AUUGAACGCUGGCGGCAUGCCUUACACAUGCAAGUCGAACGGUAACAGGUCUUCGGAUGCUGACGAGUGGCGAACGGGUGAGUAAUACAUCGGAACGUGCCUAGUAGUGGGGGAUAACUACUCGAAAGAGUGGCUAAUACCGCAUGAGAUCUACGGAUGAAAGCAGGGGAUCGCAAGAACUUGUGCUACUAGAGCGGGCGAUGGCAGAUUAGGUAGUUGGUGGGAUAAAAGCUUACCAAGCCGACGAUCUGUAGCUGGUCUGAGAGGACGAUCAGCCACACUGGGACUGAGACACGGCCCAGACUCCUACGGGAGGCAGCAGUGGGGAAUUUUGGACAAUGGGCGCAAGCCUGAUCCAGCAAUGCCGCGUGCAGGAUGAAGGCCUUCGGGUUGUAAACUGCUUUUGUACGGAACGAAAAGCCCUGGGUUAAUACCCUGGGGUCAUGACGGUACCGUAAGAAUAAGCACCGGCUAACUACGUGCCAGCCGCCGCCGCAGUAA
rnacentral:rRNA from 1 species